rnacentral:rRNA from 1 species
GUGGGGAAUCUUGCGCAAUGGGCGAAAGCCUGACGCAGCCAUGCCGCGUGAAUGAUGAAGGUCUUAGGAUUGUAAAAUUCUUUCACCGGGGACGAUAAUGACGGUACCCGGAGAAGAAGCUCCGGCUAACUUCGUGCCAGCAGCCGCGGUAAUACGAAGGGGGCUAGCGUUGCUCGGAAUUACUGGGCGUAAAGGGCGCGUAGGCGGACAGCUUAGUCAGAGGUGAAAGCCCAGGGCUCAACCUUGGAAUUGCCUUUGAUACUGGCUGACUUGAGUUUGGGAGAGGUGAGUGGAACUCCGAGUGUAGAGGUGAAAUUCGUAGAUAUUCGGAAGAACACCAGUGGCGAAGGCGACUCACUGGCCCAAUACUGACGCUGAGGCGCGAAAGCGUGGGGAGCAAACAGGAUUAGAUACCCUUGUAGUCC